UACGUAGGGGGCAAGCGUUGUCCGGAUUUAUUGGGCGUAAAGAGCUCGUAGGCGGCUUGGCAAGUCGGGUGUGAAAACUCCAGGCUCAACCUGGAGAUGCCACUCGAGACUGCUAUGGCUAGAGUCCGGUAGGGGACCACGGAAUUCCUGGUGUAGCGGUGAAAUGCGCAGAUAUCAGGAGGAACACCAAUGGCGAAGGCAGCUCGCUGGGACGGUACUGACGCUGAGACGCGAAAGCGUGGGGAGCAAACAGG
rnacentral:rRNA from 1 species